rnacentral:rRNA from 1 species
CGCGUAGGCGGCCAUCUUUGUCAGGCGUGAAAGCCCCGGGCUCAACCCGGGAACUGCGCUUGGGACGGGGUGGCUUGAGUUCGGGAGAGGAGAGUGGAAUUCCCAGUGUAGAGGUGAAAUUCGUAGAUAUUGGGAAGAACACCGGUGGCGAAGGCGGCUCUCUGGACCGAUACUGACGCUGAGGCGCGAAAGCGUGGGGAGCAAACAGGAUUAGAUACCCUGGUAGUCCACGCUGUAAACGAUGUGUGCUAGACGUUGGGAAGCCUAGCUUCUCGGUGUCGCAGCUAACGCGGUAAGCACACCGCCUGGGGAGUACGGCCGCAAGGUUAA